rnacentral:lncRNA from 1 species
AGCAGCGAGAGCCUCGGCAAGGCGGAAGGUGCGCCCACUUUUAGUCUUUUUCAGUGCGGUUUUACUUUUGCCCUCCCAAGCCCCUUCUGGGUGAAAAGACUAGAAUCUACUGAACGCCUACUCCAAGUCAGCCGUUUAUUUCUGUUAUAUCAUAUAAUCAACUCCUUGAGUCCAGGAUUUUCCCUAUUUAAGGAUUUAAAAAAAGAACCUUAGAGUUGUUUGUUGACCGAAGAGACCCAGGUUUUCUGUCUUUAGAAAAUUAAUGACCUCCUCUCAAUAGGAUCUGACCUGUUGUCAACUCCAAGAAUUACGAAUAAAUAAGAUGAUGGUUUAUAAUUGUAGCAUGGUGUUUUAAAGUAUUUUCCAUUUACUGGCCUGUUUGGAUGUGAGGGCGUUCUGGCUAUCUUGUCACCCCAUAGAUCGCCAGGGCUGAUUCGGCUGAUCUGGCUGUCUAGGCGGGUGGCCCCUUCCUCCCGCACCUCUCCAUGUGCGUCCCUCCCGAAGCUGCAUAUUCGGUCGAAAAGGAGGAGCAUCCCCCAUAGAAGAGGACAAGUCAAGGAUAUAGGAGUAGCUGCACGCCCGUGUUAACAAGCUCUCAAGGUCCUCUAAACAAGCUCUCAAGGUCUACUUACUGGCCUGUUUUAUCCCAAGCUAGUUACA